UGCUGAACUGAAGAUCGGGAAUCGAUCUAAGCGUGAUCUGGAUGCUGAGAACCUGAACCUACAUCACGAGAAGAUGUAGCGCACGUAUGCGUCAGUACUUGAAAGGUACUGAGCAUGUAGGAUAGAGUAAAGCUGAAAUAACAUAUAACUGAACAAAGCAAUAAAGCAAUGAAAUAAUCUGAACAUGAUAUAGAUACUGA
rnacentral:lncRNA from 1 species